rnacentral:rRNA from 1 species
CCUACGGGAGGCAGCAGUGAGGAAUAUUGGUCAAUGGUCGGGAGACUGAACCAGCCAAGCAGCGUGAGGGAUGAAGGUACAGAGUAUCGUAAACCUCUUUUGUCGGGGAGCAAAAGACGCCACGCGUGGCGUUCCGAGAGUACCCGAAGAACAAGCAUCGGCUAACUCCGUGCCAGCAGCCGCGGUAAUACGGAGGAUGCGGGCGUUCUCCGGAUUUAUUGGGUUUAAAGGGUUCGCAGGCGGAAGAUCAAGUCAGCGGUAAAAUUGAGAGGCUCAACCUCUGAGAGCCGUUGAAACUGGUUUUCUUGAGUGAGUGAGAGGUAGGCGGAAUGCGUGGUGUAGCGGUGAAAUGCAUAGAUAUCACGCAGAACUCCGAUUGCGAAGGCAGCAUACCGGCGCUCAACUGACGCUCAUGCACGAAAGUGUGGGUAUCGAACAGGAUUAGAUACCCGAGUAGUC